rnacentral:rRNA from 1 species
UACGUAGGGGGCAAGCGUUGUCCGGAUUUAUUGGGCGUAAAGAGCGUGUAGGCGGCCAGGUAGGUCUGCUGUGAAAACUCGAGGCUUAACCUCGAGAUGUCGGCGGAAACCAUCUGGCUAGAGUCCGGAAGAGGAGAGUGGAAUUCCUGGUGUAGCGGUGAAAUGCGCAGAUAUCGGGAAGAACACCUAUGGCGAAGGCAGCUCUCUGGGACGGUACUGACGCUGAGACGCGAAAGCGUGGGGAGCGAACAGG